UAACAUGUUUAUGAUUUGAAUUGGUUAAUGUUGUUUUUGUAAAUAUUGAAGAUACAAUAAUAAAAAUGCAUAAUUUUUUUUUUACCACAAAUUGAAAAUGCAUGGAUAGUAAUGUUAAAGCAUAUACUUCACUGAAAUAUUGUAUGUCUAUGUUUUUACAUAUAUAUUGUGUGCCUUUUGUUAGGUAUUAUUAAGUCAACUCAGAGGCAAGAACGAUACAGUCAGUUUUACUUGCAGCAAGGGUAGCUCACUUUGCAGUGCAGACUACAAAGUUUUGACACCCUAACACUUUAUUUAUAUGCACAGUUCAACAGACAGUUCAGACAGGGUGUGUGUGUGUGUGUGAGGCUGAAAAGAGGCUGGUUCCCACGGGAUGCGAUUCAGCCUAGUGUGUGUGUGCGUGUGUGUGUGUGUGAGGCUGAAAUAGAUAACGAUGAUAGGGAGGGCUGCAUACCAGAGCAUGAUACAAAGUGGAAUGCAGCUGCACUACAGCACAAAGUUUUUACAUGAAUGAUAAGUUUUCGCACCCAUCCAACACCUUUCAACAAUGACAGCACCUUGUUGUGACACUGUUUUUGUUACCGAAAAUGCGUUUACAAUAAUAAAGACAUUUGAUAUUUUUCAUAAAUAUUUGUUUAUUGUACUUAUCACAAAUUCAUCCACAGUUGCUGUGGAGUAAAACAUCAACAGAGCAGACAGGAAGCAUAAAUGGUUGGUGGCUUUUUCGGAAACAGCCACUUUCAGAGAAAACAGAACAAAUACACUUUCACUUGCUGCUUUCUUUUUUAAAAGAACAUUUUAACUUGCAAGACAUUUUAAAGUGCAAAUAUAUCAAACACAUUCAACAAAGAUAAAAUAAAACUAAACCGUCUGCUUACUAUUUAGACAACACAGUUUUUACUUGGUUAGGUGAUCAACAAGUCUCCCAAACAGAUCUAGCAUUUUAUCCAUUUGUCCCUGUGAAUGGUCCAGCCAGGCUCUGUCCCGGUCAUCAAUCUCUUUUUGCCUCCUCUCCAGGUUUUCACACCAUUCCCUAAGGCCCUCUACUGCACUCUUAUCACUCUUUCUCUUCCUUUUAGGAGGGGGACUUGCUGAACUUUCUGGUGAGCCGAUCUCUGAGUUCACUGAUCCUACUGCUGACAGAGUGGCUGUGUGCUCCUCCUCCUUAUCAUCUUCCGUCUGGCUGGGGCUGACCACUACUCUGUUUGGCCCUGAAGAGUAUAGGCUGACUGGAUUUACUGAUGGCUUCUGGCCUAUAACUUCAUGCAUGGCUGCAUAAAAUAUCCAUGUUGCUGCAGUCACUUCUCCCUCGUCUGUCCCUGACCCAGUUUUUGGAAGUGACAAGUCCUUAACAUACGCGCACUGUGGAUUCACCUUCAGUCAUCCCAGACCAGGCCAGCAUCUCCACACAACCUCCUGAGCCACAUCUGCACUCAGUCCACACACAGUGGGAGGACCCUUCGCAACAAGAUCAUAAAUACAGCAACACUUCUUGCAGUAAAGAUCUCCAGGACAAGAUGACUCAUUGUGACGAAGUUGCAUAUUUUAUUCUUCAAAAUGACGCAGACACUUUGCUGUGCACUGGUAUAGCCUUAGAAACAUUUAACAGUCUUGUGUCAACCCUGGAAGGAUAUGAAAACAAUGAAUUUACAAUGCCUGUACGAGAUCAAGUCCUUAUGACACUUAUGAAAUUAAAGAGUAAUUGUGUAAUAGGUGA